AGCUACCCUCAACCUGGUUUGGCCAGCCUGUCGAAGCUGUUGCCCGGGGUGUGGUCACUGCGCUUGCUAUAACUACUGGGAGCCACAGGAUAUGGAAAGAAAACAGAGACAGAGACACUGGAUCCCACAACAAACAGUAGUCUUAACAUCUUUUUGUAUCAUGGUGACCAGAACUGGACACAAUACUCCAAGUGUGGUCUUAUCAAGGCAGUAUAUAGCGGUACUUAUACUUCACAUGAUCCUGAUUCUAUUCAUCUGCUGAUGCAACUUAGGAUAUGAUUAGCAAUAUAAGAAGGGCUCAGGUUUUAAAGACACUUUGUCCUGGACACAAGCAAGUCUAAUAAAGGUACAAGACAGAUAAAGAAUAUAAAA